rnacentral:rRNA from 1 species
UACGGGGGGGGCAAGCGUUGUUCGGAAUUACUGGGCGUAAAGGGCUCGUAGGCGGCCAACUAAGUCGGAUGUGAAAUCCCCAGGCUUAACUUGGGAACUGCAUCCGAUACUGGAUGGCUUGAAUCCGGGAGAGGGAUGCGGAAUUCCAGGUGUAGCGGUGAAAUGCGUAGAUAUCUGGAGGAACACCGGUGGCGAAGGCGGGUCUCUGGGCCGUAACUGACGCUGAGGAGCGAAAGCGUGGGGAGCGAACAGG